GAAAUUAAAAUCUAUCUUCUUUCACAUCCGCACCGCAAGCGCAUUCGAGAAAUUCUCGUUAUCAUUUCGACUCCUCUUCACUUCACACUCUCCCUUCCUUCCUUUCUUCUGGUUCUUUUUGUUUGGGAUUAGGUUUGGUGGAGAAUGAGUUGUAUUCAGGCUACUAGUGUUGGCAAGCCUUGUGCAACUCUCCCAAAUGGAGCCCAAUUACAGCAUCCACCUGGUACGACACAUUGUACAUUGUUGAAACUAACAUAUAAGCAGGGUGCACCCCAGUUGAAAUCUCAGCAACGAAGCCCAAUUGUUUGCUUGUUUGGUGAUAAAGACAAGUCUAAAGAUACGAAAUCUCCAUGGGAUGCAUUUGGGAAAGCUAUGGGAAAUUUGAGAAACUUAGGGGCAGUCU